GAAAGCCUACCCAUUUUAAUUAAAAAUGUCCGAAGACCCUUUAGAAUAACCUAGAACCCUGUUUUAAUCUCUCUCAAACUCUUCAUCUUCACCGCCGCCUACCACCAUCAAAACCCAUCUCUACCACCGGCUCACCACCAAAUCACUCCAAAUCCUCACCAUACUCCCUCAAAAACUAAGCCGUUGUCAACUUCCCCAACAUUCUCGCCAAUUCCCUUUAAUUUCAUAUCAAAAAUGGAACCCUUGAUCUGUCCCUGCCUUUGAUUCCUCAUGCAAAAGGGUUUGGGUUCGUUGUUCUCAAACUACUGAAGACGAUUUUGGCCUGAAACGAGUGUUAGUCGUUUGUUCUCACAAGAACAAGCCAAUUAACACUCAUUUUAGUUUGAAUUGAAAAUCGCUAGAAGUCCGUUUAAGCCCAUUGUCUGUCUGCCUCUGUUAGGUAUUUCAGCUCUUUGUCUUUCAUCUUUGAUUUUAUUCUCGUCCUCUGAUUUUUCUUUUUCUUUCCAUAUCUUUCUUAUUUUCUUCUUUAAAAAUUAUUUUGUUUGCAUUUUAGGAUUAAGUCGUGUUAGCAUGUUGAUUAGUCCAUUUGAUCUCAUGGUCUAGUUUUGUUAGGUUUUUAAUUCAGUACCGGAUAAGUCUAUUUCUCUUUUUCAGUUUCGUUAUGAUUCCUUGGUCCAAAUGAAUUGGUUCAUCAUUGAUUUCAUCCAAAAUUAUUAUUGUUUUGUUUUUUCUUUCUUCUACUUUCAGAAAUUGGUCUUGAUUUGGGCUCGGCCCAUCAACAUACGGGUGUGCAUUCGAUUUGUCGAUUCGAUUUUGAUCCUUAGCGAUAAUUACUUAUCGGUUAUCGAUUUAUACUUAUGCUUAUCCUUAUCGUUUCGAUAAGGUUUUGAUUUUUUCGAUUAUCGAUUUUUGGUGCUUAUCGAUUCGAUUAUCGAUAACACCAAUAAGACAAAGGCUGGUUCCCAAAGACAAUUGUUCCUUUAAGCUAAACAAAAACACAAAAGCAUACUCGGAUUCACAUUAACUAGCUACUAUUUCC
rnacentral:lncRNA from 1 species